rnacentral:rRNA from 1 species
AUUGAACGCUGGCGGCAGGCCUAACACAUGCAAGUCGAGCGAGCGGCGGACGGGUGAGUAAUGUCUGGGAAACUGCCUGAUGGAGGGGGAUAACUACUGGAAACGGUAGCUAAUACCGCAUACCAUCAGAUGUGCCCAGAUGGGAUUAGCUAGUAGGUGGGGUAACGGCUCACCUAGGCGACGAUCCCUAGCUGGUCUGAGAGGAUGACCAGCCAACCUGGAAUUGGGACACGGUCCAGACUCUUAGGGGAGGCAGCGGUGGGGAAUUUUGCACAAGGGGCGAAAGCCUGAGGCAGCCUGGCCGGGUGUGUGAAGAGGGCCUUCGGGUGGUAAGGCACUUUCAGCGGGAGGCGUUACCCGCAGAAGAAGCACCGGCUAACUCCGUGCCAGCAGCCGCGGUAAUUC